rnacentral:rRNA from 1 species
UACGUAGGGUGCAAGCGUUAAUCGGAAUUACUGGGCGUAAAGCGUGCGCAGGCGGUUUUGUAAGUCUGUCGUGAAAGCCCCGGGCUCAACCUGGGAAUUGCGAUGGAGACUGCAAGGCUUGAAUCUGGCAGAGGGGGGUAGAAUUCCACGUGUAGCAGUGAAAUGCGUUGAGAUCGGAAGGAACGCCGACGGCGAAAGCAAGGUCCUGGACUCGUCCUGACGCUGAGGCGCGAAAGCCAGGGGAGCGAACGGG